rnacentral:rRNA from 1 species
AUUGAACGCUGGCGGCAUGCUUUACACAUGCAAGUCGAACGGCAGCGCGGGGCAACCUGGCGGCGAGUGGCGAACGGGUGAGUAAUAUAUCGGAACGUACCCAGAAGUGGGGGAUAACGUAGCGAAAGUUACGCUAAUACCGCAUACGAUCUACGGAUGAAAGUGGGGGACCUUCGGGCCUCAUGCUUUUGGAGCGGCCGAUAUCUGAUUAGCUAGUUGGUGAGGUAAAGGCUCACCAAGGCGACGAUCAGUAGCUGGUCUGAGAGGACGACCAGCCACACUGGGACUGAGACACGGCCCAGACUCCUACGGGAGGCAGCAGUGGGGAAUUUUGGACAAAUGGGGGGCAAACCCUGAUCCAGCAAUGCCGCGUGAGUGAAGAAGGCCU